UUGCGGUUAAAAAGCUCGUAGUUGGAUCUCGGCGGGUAGAAGGCGGUACACUGCUAAGUGUUACUGCCUUAUUACCCGUAGUUUUUGCUAGAGGUUUCAGGGUGCUCUUAAUCGAGUGUCCUGGGAUGCUAGCAGGUUUACUUUGAAAAAAUUAGAGUGCUCAAAGCAGGCUACUACGCUUGAAUAUUCGUGCAUGGAAUAAUAGAAUAGGAAGUCGUUUCUAUUUUGUUGGUUUUCGGAAAUCGACUUAAUGAUUAAUAGGGACAGUCGGGGGCAUUUGUAUUCAAACGACAGAGGUGAAAUUCUUGGACCGUUUGAAGACAAACUACUGCGAAAGCAUUUGCCAAGAAUGUUUUCAUUAAUCAAGAACGAAAGUUAGAGGUUCGAAGGCGAUUAGAUACCGCCCUAGUUCUAACCAUAAACGAUGCCAGCUAGCGAUCUGCGGACGUUUU
rnacentral:rRNA from 1 species